AUUGAACGCUGGCGGCAGGCCUAACACAUGCAAGUCGAACGAGUGGCGGACGGGUGAGUAAUAUCUGGGAAACCGCCUGAUGGGGGGGGAUAACUCCUGGACACGGUCGCUAAUACCACAUACCCUCAUAUAUCCACACAUGGGUGUAGCUAGUUGGUGGGGUAACGGCUCACCAAGGCGACGAUCCCUAGCUGGUCUGAGAGGAUGACCAGCCACACUGGAACUGAGACACGGUCCAGACGCCUACGGGAGGCAGCAGUGGGGAAUAGUGCACAAUGGGCGCAAGCCGGAUGCAGCCAUGCCGCGUGUAUGAAGAAGGCCUUCGGGUUGUAAAGUACUUUCAGCGGGGAGGCGUGACCCGCAGAAGAAGCACCGGCUAACUCCGUGCCAGCAGCCGCGGUAAUAC
rnacentral:rRNA from 1 species